rnacentral:rRNA from 1 species
UACAGAGGUCUCAAGCGUUGUUCGGAUUCAUUGGGCGUAAAGGGUGUGUAGGUGGCGCGCUAAGUCGGGUGUGAAAUUUCGGAGCUUAACUCCGAAACUGCAUUCGAUACUGGCGUGCUUGAGGACUGGAGAGGAGACUGGAAUUCAUGGUGUAGCAGUGAAAUGCGUGGAGAUCAUGAGGAAGACCAGUGGCGAAGGCGGGUCUCUGGACAGUUCCUGACGCUGAGGCACGAAGGUCAGGGGAGCAAACGGG